rnacentral:rRNA from 1 species
CGCUGGCGGCAUGCCUUACACAUGCAAGUCGAACGGCAGCGCGGGGCAACCUGGCGGCGAGUGGCGAACGGGUGAGUAAUAUAUCGGAACGUACCCAAGAGUGGGGGAUAACGCAGCGAAAGUUACGCUAAUACCGCAUACGAUCUAAGGAUGAAAGCAGGGGACCGCAAGGCCUUGUGCUCCUGGAGCGGCCGAUAUCUGAUUAGCUAGUUGGUAGGGUAAAAGCCUACCAAGGCAUCGAUCAGUAGCUGGUCUGAGAGGACGACCAGCCACACUGGAACUGAGACACGGUCCAAACUCCUACGGGAGGCAGCAGUGGGGAAUUUUGGACAAUGGGCGCAAGCCUGAUCCAGCAAUGCCGCGUGAGUGAAGAAGGCCUUCGGGUUGUAAAGCUCUUUUGUCAGGGAAGAAAAGGUUGCGAAUAAUACUCGCAGCUCAUGACGGUACCUGAAGAAUAAGCACCGGCU